UUGAACGCUGGCGGCAUGCUUUACACAUGCAAGUCGAACGGCAGCGCGGGGCAACCUGGCGGCGAGUGGCGAACGGGUGAGUAAUAUAUCGGAACGUACCCAGAAGUGGGGGAUAACGUAGCGAAAGUUACGCUAAUACCGCAUACGAUCUACGGAUGAAAGUGGGGGACCUUCGGGCCUCAUGCUUUUGGAGCGGCCGAUAUCUGAUUAGCUAGUUGGUAGGGUAAAGGCCUACCAAGGCAACGAUCAGUAGCUGGUCUGAGAGGACGACCAGCCACACUGGAACUGAGACACGGUCCAGACUCCUACGGGAGGCAGCAGUGGGGAAUUUUGGACAAUGGGCGCAAGCCUGAUCCAGCAAUGCCGCGUGAGUGAAGAAGGCCUUCGGGUUGUAAAGCUCUUUUGUCAGGGAAGAAACGGCUGCGGCUAAUAUCUGCGGCUAAUGACGGUACCUGAAGAAUAAGCACCGGCUAACUACGU
rnacentral:rRNA from 1 species